rnacentral:rRNA from 1 species
AUUGAACGCUGGCGGCAUGCCUUACACAUGCAAGUCGAACGGUAACGGGCCUUCGGGUGCCGACGAGUGGCGAACGGGUGAGUAAUGCAUCGGAACGUACCUUUCAGUGGGGGAUAACGUAGCGAAAGUUACGCUAAUACCGCAUAUUCUGUGAGCAGGGCAGCAGGGGAUCGCAAGACCUUGCGCUGAUUGAGCGGCCGAUGUCAGAUUAGCUAGUUGGUGAGGUAAAGGCUCACCAAGGCGACGAUCUGUAGCGGGUCUGAGAGGAUGAUCCGCCACACUGGGACUGAGACACGGCCCAGACUCCUACGGGAGGCAGCAGUGGGGAAUUUUGGACAAUGGGGGCAACCCUGAUCCAGCCAUGCCGCGUGAGUGAAGAAGGCCUUCGGGUUGUAAAGCUCUUUCGGCCGGGAAGAAAUCGCACAGGCUAAUACCUUGUGUGGAUGACGGUACCGGAAUAAGAAGCACCGGCUAACUACGUGCCAGCAGCCGCGGUAAUAC